UUGACCUUUGGGAUUGGAUCAAAAGUCAACAUGGUCACCAAGCAAAGCGGCUUUGUUUCCUCUCCCCAGGUUGUUAACUAAGUCAGAUACCUGAUCCUACACACAGCCUAUCCGAGCCAGGGCCAAGCCAUCUGUCAAUUUGUUUCAGCUACACGACGAGAAGUAAUUUUUAAGGGAUCACACACUAAGGAUCAGGACGUAAACCCCUGUUUGUUCCCUCUAAGGGAUGUGUGUCCAAGUGUGGACUCAAAUCCACAUGCAGCUUUCAUCUGGGCCAGAGGGGCACAUAAGCAGGGUCCCUGCUGGCCAGGCCAUGGAGACACAGAGCCGGGGGUCUAGAUGCCCCUGCUUCUGCUGCAAAGAAGUGGGCAAAGCUUCUGGUCUGGACGCGCAACUCCAGAGUGAUUUGCAACGCCAGGCCCAGGAAGAAACGGAAUAUGGGAAUGUAAGCACAGACUGCACAAGGGCCUCAUCAAUAAAAGACGGCUUGGAAUUUGCUGUUGUCAGGGUUUAUUCAUGAAUUUGGGGAGAAGGGCACUGCUGGUUGCACAGAUUCUUAAGAAUUCAGACACAGGAGCUCCUUACAGGGUUAACUUCCUUCCAUGAUUGCUCCAGUGGUCCUCAAACUGCUCCAGGGACCAGCAGCAUCAGCACCACCUGGGGACUAGUUAGAAAAGGCAAGUUCUUGGGCCCCAUCCCAGGCCCACUGAAUGAAGACUCCUGCAGGUAAGCACAGCAGUGUGGUUCGGCAAACCUGCCCUGCGACUCUGAGAACUACUGGCCAACACUGCCCUGCCAUUUUGAAGACAAUGAAUGAGCUUCACUGUCUUGGGCUGGGGUUCAAACAACUCCCAAGAGCAGGGAGAAGCAAAAACGCUGUGGGAACCAUGCAAAAGACUACUGGCUGCUGCUGCUCUGCUCUGCAAAUGCAGGGUCGUACAGCUAGGUGAUGAGUUCAGUGAGCUUUUGGAGGCAAGCCUGGAAAACGAACAUUCACAUAUGUAUGCUGUUUCUAGGAAAAAAUGUAUUUUUGAUAAUAAAAACCUUUCACCACACAACCUAUUUCUAACUUCAGGAAUACAGGUUUUGCCUUAAAACGUGAGUGACAGCUUCAUAAAUCACAGUGGGUGCAC
rnacentral:lncRNA from 10 species